rnacentral:rRNA from 1 species
AGCAGCCGCGGUAAUUCCAGCUCCAAUAGCGUAUAUUAAAGUUGUUGCAGUUAAAAGCUCGUAGUUGAAUUUCGGGGUUAGUAGGUUGGUCAUGCCUCUGGUAUGUACUGGUCUCACUGAUUCCUCCUUCCUGAUGAACCUUAAUGCCAUUAAUUUGGUGUUUUGGGGAAUUUGGACUGUUACUUUGAAAAAAUUAGAGUGUUUAAAGCAAGCUAACGCUUGAAUACAUUAGCAUGGAAUAAUGAAAUAGGACGUUCGAUCCUAUUUUGUUGGUUUCUAGGAUUGACGUAAUGAUUAAUAGGGAUAGUUGGGGGCAUUAGUAUUCAAUUGUCAGAGGUGAAAUUCUUGGAUUUAUUGAAGACUAACUACUGCGAAAGCAUUUGCCAAGGAUGUUUUCAUUAAUCAAGAACGAAAGUUAGGGGAUCGAAGACGAUCAGAUACCGUCGUAGUCUUAACCAUAAACUAUGCCGACUAGGGAUCGGAUGAUGUUAAUUUUUUUCAAUGACUCAUUCGGCGCCUU